UACGUAGGGCGCAAGCGUUGUCCGGAAUUAUUGGGCGUAAAGAGCUCGUAGGCGGUUCGGCAAGUCGGAUGUGAAAUCUCCACGCUUAACGUGGAGGGGCCAUUCGAAACUGCUGUGACUCGAGUCCGGUAGGGGAGUGUGGAAUUCCCGGUGUAGCGGUGAAAUGCGCAGAUAUCGGGAGGAACACCAGUAGCGAAGGCGGCACUCUGGGCCGGUACUGACGCUGAGAAGCGAAAGCAUGGGGAGCGAACAGG
rnacentral:rRNA from 1 species